rnacentral:misc_RNA from 1 species
GAUGAAGAACGUAGCGAAAUGCGAUAAGUAGUGUGAAUUGCAGAAUUCAGUGAAUCAUCGAAUCUUUGAACGCACAUUGCGCCCCUUGGUAUCCCGAGGGGCAUGCCUGUUCGAGCGUCAUUUCACCACUCAAGCCUGGCUUGGUGUUGGGCGACGUCCCCUUUGGGGACGCGCCUCGAAACGCUCGGCGGCGUGGCACCGGCUUUAAGCGUAGCAGAAUCUUUCGCUUUGGAAGUCGGGGCCCCGUCUGCCGGAAGACCUACUCGCAAGGUUGACCUCGGAUCAGGCAGGGAUACCCGCUGAACUUAAGCAUAUCAAAAGCGGAGGA